GAUAUUGUUAAACUUUUCCUUAGUACGAUUAUCAAGCGAUUCGAGUUUAAACUUUCUCACGUUUAACCGACGAAUAACCGACAUGUCAUCAGAAUGGAUUGGUUAGGGCUGUUGGAAACUAGUGAAGAUUUGGCGCUUAUGUUAACUUACGGUGAAUGGAUAUUCGAUAUCCAGUCUCUUACUACAGGAUUUUAUUACAGAGAUACUCCACUCUCGUCCACUCUUGAACCUUCCGCGAACACAACGAUGCCGCCAAUUAACUUUCUCUAACUAGGAUGUGUGGCAACUGGAAAACUAAAGCGAAAAUUUCAAGAAAUUAAUAGUCUACUGUUAGCUGAAAGACGGGGAAAGAUAUCCAAAAGUUCAUCAUUCAUGACAAGAGGCAGAUCUAUUAAAAGAAAAUCAAAUUUUCUGUACAAGAACUUUAGUGAACAUACGCAACUUUAUACAGCUCAUUAAUUGCCGCUUCGUCGAAACUAAUUACUAGAAUGAACAAAAGGGUGUCAUUAUUGCUUCGUAGGAUUUCAGUCAAACGUGGUAAUCGUGGAGGAAUCUUUUGGCUCCGUCAGUAGGUGGCUAAAAUCAAGUUGUCCCUCAGCCGCCAGAUGACGUGAGUGUCUUUGAGGGGACGAAAUAUUCGCCAUUUUGUUCCGAAACGCCAAGUGAAAAGGUGUUCAAAAUUCGCUACGGAAUUGCGGUGUCGAUCUACAUCUUCAGCAUUGAAAUUUAAUGGCAAUCUGGCAUAUAAUUUCCAAUUGGCCAAAUAAUCGAUCACGUUGACUGAAACUGCUUUCCAUUUUGCCGAAAUGUCGCCCGUUGUAGGCUUUACCUGUUCGGAUGUACGUCUCAACUCACGCAGAAACUCUACAGAGGUUGGAGAUCCUGUUGCUUAACUGUUGCAGAAUGUGAGAACUCAACAAAGUCUGAGCUCCGUGGCUGGUGUCAUGACCACAGUCAGUGGUUUUGUUGCAGCCAGCUGGUGAAAGGCAUGAUCAAGUCAGGUUGAGCUGCAGCUGCUGUGUGCAGUUUAUCGAGCUGGUGUUAUCCUGAAGUGUCAUUGCAGGAAGACUUUUUGAAAUGGACUUGGUGGUACUUAAACUAUGCCUGUGGCCUGUGCUGUUCAAUGUGCAGUGGUUUUGCAGCCGGUUUCCAGUUUAAGAGAUGUGAUUAUGCAGCUGAUACAGGAUGGAAGAAAAAGAAAUGAAAUAGCUGUGCUGGUGUUCAGCUGAAAUUGCUGUGCCACAAGAGUUGCAGAUAGUGUUUGGUUCCUCAUAGAAGUCGAUAGAAGUUUAUUUAAAGAGUCUGGAGAUGAUCAGCCACUUCUGCUAAUAGGCUAACUUGUGUAAAACUUCAAAGUUGUAAGAAAUACACAAGUCAAGUGCUAAACAUGAUUUUAA